rnacentral:rRNA from 1 species
AUUGAACGCUGGCGGCAUGCCUUACACAUGCAAGUCGAACGGCAGCACGGGGGCAACCUUGUGGCGAGUGGCGAACGGGUGAGUAAUGCAUCGGAACGUGCCCAGUAGUGGGGGAGUAACUAGUCGAAAGAUUAGCUAAUACCGCAUACGACCUAUGGGUGGAAAGCGGGGGAGUUCGCAAGAACCUCGCGCUAUCGGAGCGGCCGAUGUCUGAUUAGCUAGUUGGCGGGGUAAAAGGCCCACCAAGGCGACGAUCAGUAGCUGGUCUGAGAGGACGACCAGCCACACUGGGACUGAGACACGGCCCAGACUCCUACGGGAGGCAGCAGUGGGGAAUUUUGGUACAAUGGGCGCAAGCCUGAUCCAGCCAUGCCGCGUGCGGGAAGAAGGCCUCGGUUGUAA